ensembl:lncRNA novel transcript
AACAAAGGAUUUAUAAUAAGUCCAAGAAAGCUGAGGUAUCACUGGAAUUCCCUGUAAGCAACACUGACAUACUUUAUCACAUGUAAAAUCCUCAAAUUUAAUGUACAGUACUGGAAUAUGUCCCCUAGGUAUUUUAUGUUUUCUGUGGCUCUAAGUCCUAAGCAACUGCCAUCAUGAAGGAGAAUCAAGACUGCUAAGUAAAGGAGCUUGGUCACACUCAUUUGGUUACUGAUACAGAAACUCAAAUCUGGAAGCAACUGUGCUGGAAAAGGGUAGUGCGAGAAAGGUAGGUUUGCCAGAGAAAAUCGCAUGCCGAGCUCACCUUGUCCGUGGACCAGCACACAAGCCAUGCCUGGACACCUCCCUCCACCAAGGCUGCCAGUCAGGGGAUUUCAGGUGGUUUCUUCAAUCGGAGUCUUGGCAGUUCUACACCUGUCCUCACUCCACAUGGGAUAUACGUGUAGAGACUACAUCGUGCUUUAACCUUGAGCGCUACUUCUUAAACCAAAAGUAAAUUUAAACUAAGGACCCAUUUCAGCCAAACUUUCCCAAGCAAUUCUACUUUCUUCUCUCUCUUAUU